UAAGGAAUAUUGGACAAUGGUCGCAAGACUGAUCCAGCCAUGCCGCGUGCAGGAAGACGGCCCUAUGGGUUGUAAACUGCUUUUGUACCAGAGAAAACCUAUCUACGUGUAGAUAGCUGAUAGUAUGGUAAGAAUAAGCAUCGGCUAACUUCGUGCCAGCAGCCGCGGUAAGACGAAGGAUGCAAGCGUUAUCCGGAUUCAUUGGGUUUAAAGGGUGCGUAGGCGGGCUUGUAAGUCAGUGGUGAAAUCUCUCAGCUUAACUGAGAAACUGCCAUUGAUACUGCAGGCCUAGAGUGUAGAUGACGUUGGCGGAAUAUGACAUGUAGUGGUGAAAUACUUAGAUAUGUCAUAGAACACCGAUUGCGAAGGCAGCUAACGAAACUAUAACUGACGCUGAGGCACGAAAGUGCGGGGAUCAAACA
rnacentral:rRNA from 1 species